AACGAACGCUGGCGGCAUGCCUAACACAUGCAAGUCGAACGGCAGCGCGGGGGCAACCCUGGCGGCGAGUGGCGAACGGGUGAGUAAUACAUCGGAACGUACCCAGAAGUGGGGGGAUAACGUAGCGAAAGUUACGCUAAUACCGCAUACGUUCUACGGAAGAAAGUGGGGGAUCGCAAGACCUCAUGCUUUUGGAGCGGCCGAUGUCUGAUUAGCUAGUUGGUGAGGUAAAGGCUCACCAAGGCGACGAUCAGUAGCUGGUCUGAGAGGACGACCAGCCACACUGGAACUGAGACACGGUCCAGACUCCUACGGGAGGCAGCAGUGGGGGAAUUUUGGGACAAUGGGGGCAACCCUGAUCCAGCAAUGCCGCGUGAGUGAAGAAGGCC
rnacentral:rRNA from 1 species